UACGAAGGGGGCUAGCGUUGUUCGGAUUUACUGGGCGUAAAGCGCACGUAGGCGGAUCGAUCAGUCAGGGGUGAAAUCCCAGAGCUCAACUCUGGAACUGCCUUUGAUAGUGUCGAUCUGGAGUAUGGAAGAGGUGAGUGGAAUUCCCAGUGUAGUGGUGAAAUACGUAGAGAUCGGGAGGAACACCAGUGGCGAAGGCGGCUCGCUGGGCCGGUCCUGACGCUGAGACGCGAAGAAGUGGGGAGAGAACGGG
rnacentral:rRNA from 1 species